GAUUGGGUUGCAAAGACGAUUGAAUUGGAGUUCAUCCUGCUUUCCUGCAACGUCUGAUGUGCAUGCGAAGUAGAGGAUCUGCACAUCCAGGCCUCCACAAAGGUUUAUAUCAAAUUAUUUGUGAUUUGAUCUUUAGUUCUACUGCUAUUCAGAUAAGGAUUUGAUUCUUAAUCAUGUAGAUGAAUAGAAAAAUUUUUAGAUGCAAUCUAGGCCUUCUGAAGAGAAACAAUUUUUCUUCCUUUCAGAUCACCACGUCUGAAUCAUGAGGACUUGAGGUCUCGCUGAUUGUUCACAUCCACCCAGGUUGUCCGACCUCUAUGAUUGGUCCAUUCGAAGCACUGCACUGAUAUGAUCUCUCCAGAAGUGCUAGCUCACACGA
rnacentral:lncRNA from 1 species